rnacentral:rRNA from 27 species
UAGUGGCGAACGGGUGAGUAACACGUGGGCAAUCUGCCCUUCACUCUGGGACAAGCCCUGGAAACGGGGUCUAAUACCGGAUAUGAGCCUGGGAGGCAUCUCCCGGGUUGUAAAGCUCCGGCGGUGAAGGAUGAGCCCGCGGCCUAUCAGCUUGUUGGUGAGGUAAUGGCUCACCAAGGCGACGACGGGUAGCCGGCCUGAGAGGGCGACCGGCCACACUGGGACUGAGACACGGCCCAGACUCCUACGGGAGGCAGCAGUGGGGAAUAUUGCACAAUGGGCGAAAGCCUGAUGCAGCGACGCCGCGUGAGGGAUGACGGCCUUCGGGUUGUAAACCUCUUUCAGCAGGGAAGAAGCGAAAGUGACGGUACCUGCAGAAGAAGCGCCGGCUAACUACGUGCCAGCAGCCGCGGUAAUACGUAGGGCGCAAGCGUUGUCCGGAAUUAUUGGGCGUAAAGAGCUCGUAGGCGGCUUGUCACGUCGAUUGUGAAAGCCCGAGGCUUAACCUCGGGUCUGCAGUCGAUACGGGCUAGCUAGAGUGUGGUAGGGGAGAUCGGAAUUCCU